rnacentral:misc_RNA from 1 species
UAUGAAGAACGUAGCGAAAUGCGAUAAGUAAUGUGAAUUGCAGAAUUCAGUGAAUCAUCGAAUCUUUGAACGCACCUUGCGCUCUUUGGUAUUCCGAAGAGCAUGCCUGUUUGAGUGUCAUGAAAAUAUCAACCUUGACUUGGGUUUUGUGCUCUAGUCUCGGCUUGGAAUUGGGUGCUUGCCGCUUUUACGAGCGGCUCACCUUAAAUGUAUUAGCUGGAUCUGUCUUUGAGACUUGGUUUGACUUGGCGUAAUAAGUAUUUCGCUAAGGACAUUCUUCGGAGUGGCCUCGUUUCUAGGACGCUUGUCCACUUUCCAAUACAAGUUCCACCUCGUGGACAUGACUUUUUAUUAUCUGGCCUCAAAUCAGGUAGGACUACCCGCUGAACUUAAGCAUAUCAAUAAGCGGGGGA